rnacentral:rRNA from 1 species
UACGUAGGGGGCGAGCGUUGCCCGGAAUCACUGGGCGUAAAGGGGGUGUAGGCGGUUAUCUAAGUCAGAUGUAAAAUACCUUGGCUCAACCAAGGGAUUGCGUCUGAAACUGGAUAACUUGAGGUUACUAGAGGGAGACGGAAUUACCUGUGUAGCGGUGAAAUGCGUAGAUACAGGUAAGAAGGCCGGUGGUGAAGACGGUCUCCUAGGGUAAACCUGACGCUGAGGCCCGAAAGCUAGGGGAGCAAACCGG